rnacentral:lncRNA from 1 species
UAAACACUGCACCCAUGCCUGACGCCACUUCCUCCACAGACCUUCCUGCUCCCACCCAGAGGGGCUAAGGUCCCCUCAUCUGUGCCCUGACUUUUCUCUGCACAUCUCUCUCGCCAUCUUAAUGACAUGAGGUAGAAUCAUCUCUUUGUGUCUGCUGUCGCCUGCCAGGACACUGAAAGCGGGGACGUGCUUUUUCAUUUCUGCAUCUUCCGUGCCCAGCACAAGGCUGGACAUCAUGUGUUUACCACACAAGCCGCGGGAGGUGCACAGAUGCAUGGGGCGAGGAGCUGGUGGGCAGUCUGUGGGUGGUAAAGGGCCAGCUGGGGGUGUGGAAGGAAGGGCUGCGGGUCAGCAGAGACACUAAGGGCAGGUGGGAAGUGGACGGACGGACGAACGGACGAACGGAUGGACGAACAGUGGCAUACAGGGCGAGUGGGUGGGCAGAUGCAUGUGUUGAGGGUGGGCACCUGGCCUGAUGCGGUGCAGGCGGCUGCGAGGUGGGAGGAGGCCAGAUGAGGAGGGCUGGCUUACCUUCUUACGCACCUGCUGCUCUUUGGCUGAAUGGGCCUUGACGUGCUUGCGGAGGGAGCUGGGGUCUGUGUAGCGCUUGGAGCAGCCAGGGAUCUGACAGGCGUACGGCUUCUGUAACAUGGGGGGCACGGGUGGGGUGAGUGAGGCCCAUCCCUACGGGACACGCGCCUCCGCGUGACCUGCUGUGGGGAGGUGACCAGGCGAGAGGCUGGCUGCAGGCCAAGAGUACUCUGCCUCAGCCAGCCCGGCCCAGCUGUGGGGAAGGUGCCUGGCCUGGGAGCGGAGCAAGGGGUUUGUGUCUUCAUUCCACCACCAUCCUGGGACCUCAGGCUUCCACAGGACCCUGCUUGAGGACUCUGGCCGCUGCUGGGGCUUGAAGCUUACAAGGCUUCCCUUUGCGGACACGUCUAGUGCUUCCGCUCUCUUAGAAGCCUCUGCCCUGCUGGGACUGCAGGGGACAGGAGAAGGAUUGGAGGAAAUGACACCUCUCAGAGUGAGUGCCAGGGACUGCCAUGUCCUGCCAGACACACCCACGUGGAACUGCCCCCAGGACCUCAAGGCAGCUUUGCCCCUGCUGGACUAAGGAGAGGCCAGGCCAACCUCAGACCCAGGGAGAGGUACCCAUGGCCCUGGGACCUCAUGAGGAGGGGAAGCAGAAAGAGACGACCAUACCUUGGUGCUGCCAUGGAGAGUUGCCAGAUUAAAGAAACGGAGGAGAGCAAAAAGAGAGAGACAGCAGUGAGAAGCUUGCCGGGGUUGGCCUGGGAGGGAGAGCGGAGGCCUGCCGCGGAUGGCCCCUGCUGCCCCCAGCCCACCGCACCCCAGAGUUUGUGGACUUCAGGUUUGGACCUGACAUAAGUGAAACAGAGAGCACUAGCAGUCCUCCCUCAC